rnacentral:rRNA from 1 species
CACGUAGGGGGCGAGCGUUGUCCGGAUUUAUUGGGCGUAAAGAGCUCGUAGGCGGCUCGGUAAGUCAGGUGUGAAAACUCUAGGCUCAACCUAGAGACGCCACCUGAUACUGCUGUGGCUAGAGUCCGGUAGGGGAGCAUGGAAUUCCUGGUGUAGCGGUGAAAUGCGCAGAUAUCAGGAGGAACACCAAUUGCGAAGGCAGCUCGCUGGGACGUUACUGACGCUGGAGAACGCGAAAGCGUGGGGAGCAAACAGG